GAUGAACACUAGGUGUGGCGGACUGAUUCACGUCUGCUGCGCCGUAGCUAACGCGUUAAGUGUUCCGCCUGGGGAGUACGGCCGCAAGGCUAAAACUCAAAGGAAUUGACGGGGCCCCGCACAAGCGGCGGAGCAUGCGGCUUAAUUCGAUGCAACCCGAAGAACCUUACCUGGGUUUGACAUCAUGGGUCUAGCUGUGGAAACACAGUGUGCGUAAGCGCCCAUGACAGGUGGUGCAUGGCUGUCGUCAGCUCGUGUCGUGAGAUGUUGGGUUAAGUCCCGCAACGAGCGCAACCCUUGUCCUAUGUUGCCAGCACGUAAUGGUGGGGACUCAUGGGAGACUGCCGGGGACAACUCGGAGGAAGGCGAGGACGAUGUCAAGUCAUCAUGCCCCUUAUAUCCAGGGCUGCACGCAUGCUACAAUGGGCGAUACAAUGGGCUGCGAUCCCGCGAGGGUCAGCCAAUCCCGUAAAGUCGUCCUCAGUUCGGAUUGGAGUCUGCAACUCGACUCCAUGAAGCCGGAGUCGCUAGUAAUCGUGGAUCAGCAAAGCCACGGUGAAUACGUUCUCGGGGCUUGUACACACCGCCCGUCACAUCACGGAAGUCGGUAACACCCGAAGUCAGUGGCCUAACCCCUUGGGGAAGGAGCUGCCGAAGGUGGGAUUGGUGACUGGGAUGAAGUCGUAACAAGGUAACCGU
rnacentral:rRNA from 1 species